GAUGAACGCUGGCGGCGUGCCUAAUACAUGCAAGUCGAGCGAACAGACGAGGAGCUUGCUCCUCUGACGUUAGCGGCGGACGGGUGAGUAACACGUGGAUAACCUACCUAUAAGACUGGGAUAACUUCGGGAAACCGGAGCUAAUACCGGAUAAUAUAUUGAACCGCAUGGUUCAAUAGUGAAAGACGGUUUUGCUGUCACUUAUAGAUGGAUCCGCGCCGCAUUAGCUAGUUGGUACGGUAACGGCUUACCAAGGCGACGAUGCGUAGCCGACCUGAGAGGGUGAUAGGCCACACUGGAACGGGGACACGGUCCAGACUCCUACGGGAGGCAGCAGUAGGGAAUCUUCCGCAAUGGGCGAAAGCCUGACGGAGCAACGCCGCGUGAGUGAUGAAGGUCUUCGGAUCGUAAAACUCUGUUAUUAGGGAAGAACAAAUGUGUAAGUAACUAUGCACGUCUUGACGGUACCUAAUCAGAAAGCCACGGCUAACUACGUG
rnacentral:rRNA from 1 species